GUCCACGCCGUAAACGAUGAGCACUAGCUGUCGGGGGUAUCGACCCCUCCGGUAGCGCAGCUAACGCGAUAAGUGCUCCGCCUGGGGACUACGGCCGCAAGGCUAAAACUCAAAGGAAUUGACGGGGGCCCGCACAAGCAGCGGAGCGUGCGGUUUAAUUCGAAGCUACGCGAAGAACCUUACCAGGGCUUGACAUGCACGAGACCGCCGGUGAAAGCCGGUUUCCCUUCGGGGCCCGUGCACAGAUGCUGCAUGGCUGUCGU
rnacentral:rRNA from 1 species